rnacentral:rRNA from 1 species
AUUGAACGCUGGCGGAAUGCUUUACACAUGCAAGUCGAACGGCAGCACGGACUUCGGUCUGGUGGCGAGUGGCGAACGGGUGAGUAAUGUAUCGGAACGUGCCCAGUCGUGGGGGAUAACGUAGUGAAAAUUACGCUAAUACCGCAUACGAUCUAUGGAUGAAAGCGGGGGAUCGCAAGACCUCGCGCGAUUGGAGCGGCCGAUAUCAGAUUCGGUAGUUGGUGGGGUAAAGGCCCACCAAGCCAACGAUCUGUAGCUGGUCUGAGAGGACGACCAGCCACACCGGAACGGAGACACGGUCCAGACUCCUACGGGAGGCAGCAGUGGGGAAUUUUGGACAAUGGGCGAAAGCCUGAUCCAGCCAUUCCGCGUGCAGGAUGAAGGCCCUCGGGUUGUAAACUGCUUUUGUACAGAACGAAAAGGUUUCUACUAAUACUAGGAGCUCAUGACGGUACUGUAAGAAUAAGCACCGGCUAACUACGUGCCAGCCGCCGCGGUAA